UACGUAGGGUCCGAGCGUUGUCCGGAAUUAUUGGGCGUAAAGGGCUCGUAGGCGGUUCGUCACGUCGGGAGUGAAAACUCGGAGCUUAACUCCGAGCCUGCUUCCGAUACGGGCAGACUAGAGGUAGGCAGGGGAGAGCGGAACUCCUGGUGUAGCGGUGGAAUGCGCAGAUAUCAGGAGGAACACCCAUAGCGAAGGCAGCUUGCUGGGACGUAACUGACGCUAAGGCGCGAAAGCGUGGGGAGCGAACAGG
rnacentral:rRNA from 1 species